AACGAACGCUGGCGGCAGGCUUAACACAUGCAAGUCGAGCGAGACCUUCGGGUCUAGCGGCGGACGGGUGAGUAACGCGUGGGAACGUGCCCUUCUCUACGGAAUAGCCCCGGGAAACUGGGAGUAAUACCGUAUACGCCCUUUGGGGGAAAGAUUUAUCGGAGAAGGAUCGGCCCGCGUUGGAUUAGGUAGUUGGUGGGGUAAUGGCCCACCAAGCCGACGAUCCAUAGCUGGUUUGAGAGGAUGAUCAGCCACACUGGGACUGAGACACGGCCCAGACUCCUACGGGAGGCAGCAGUGGGGGAUCGUAGACAAUGGGGGCAACGCUGAUCUAGCCAUGCCGCGUGAAUGAUGAAGGCGUUAGGGUUGUAAAGCUCUUUCAGCUGGGAAGAUAAUGACGGUACGAGCAGAAGAAGCCCCGGCUAACUCCGUG
rnacentral:rRNA from 1 species